UACGGGGGGGCAAGCGUUGUUCGGAAUUACUGGCGUAAAGGCUCGUAGGCGGCCAACUAAGUCGGACGUGAAAUCCCUCGGCUUAACCGGGAACUGCGUCCGAUACUGGUGGCUUGAGUUCGGGAGAGGGAAGCGGAAUCCGGGUGUAGCGGUGAAAUGCGUAGAUAUCCGGAGGAACACCGGUGGCGAAGGCGGCUCCUGGACCGACACUGACGCUGAGGCGCGAAAGCUAGGGGAGCAAACGGG
rnacentral:rRNA from 1 species